rnacentral:rRNA from 1 species
UUCGUAGGUGGCUUGCUAAGUCAGACGUGAAAUCCCUCAGCUCAACUGGGGAACUGCGUCUGAGACUGGCGAGCUUGAGUGCAGGAGAGGAAUGCGGAAUUCCAGGUGUAGCGGUGAAAUGCGUAGAUAUCUGGAGGAACACCGGUGGCGAAGGCGGCGUUCUGGACUGCAACUGACACUGAGGAACGAAAGCCAGGGAGCAAACG